AAGUCUUAUGUCAGAGGGCUCUGUGCACAUUUUCCUGAAGUACCUCAGCUAUGCUUAAAUGUAAUCUGUUAUUUUAACCAAUCAUAAUGGUUGCAUUUUGCCUUUUCUCAUAAUAAAUUAUAAAAUUGAUAACUUAUAAAUAUGGCAAAACCUUAUUUUUCAGGAUGCCACUCCCUUCUCUAACAGAUUGAAUUCUGUGUCCAAAGACUUCAAAAGCUACCAGAGUAUUGUGAAAGAAGAAACAGUGUUGUUGAAGGCUGCUGAUAUUGCCUAUUAGCCAGAAGAAAGAACCUGUAUCAUUCAAAGGUUUUCCAUCUGGCAAAGAAGUGUGGUAAAAAUCCUACCCAGAUCUGCAUGUGCUAAGUAUCCAGGUAAGUUGGAGCAACAUAUUAAUGGCAACCAGUGAAGAAAUGAAAGCUUGUGUAUUUCAGUUUUAUAAUGAAAUGUUCUUUGGGUUCAUAAAAUAUUUAGGGACUACAUAAAAAAGAAAGACUUUGGAAUCAAAGGCAAGCUUUGGAAUCAAACACAGGUUCUGUUCAAUGAAACUAGGAAAUCACGAUCUAUCAAAGGACCAGUGUUAAUCGGUACCAAUUUCUCACCACGUUUUGAUUAGAAGAAAAUCGAGCUGCAAACAUUUAAGGAUUUGUCUGACUGAAUGCUGACUUAAAGUUCUGAUCUCUAGUAACGUCAGGCAUGUUGUCUUGGUAAAUUGUACAGUUCACAUCUCCCUUAUGAGUUCCAGAUGUGUAUAUGCAACUGCCUGCUGGAUUUCUACUUGAAUGUCUUAAUUUCUCAAACUUGGCAUGUGGAAAACUGAACACCUUGAUCUUCCUAAAAAUCUGUUUUUCUGUCAUUUAGUUCGUCAGCUAAAAACUUUGGAGUUAGACAUAUGGACUGCCCAUACUAAGGGAAGAAUCAGAGGAGAAGGGAUACAAGACCCCAGGAGCACACCCAGCACCUUAAUAUGCAUGCUGCGUCUCUCUCAAAUGGUGGAACCUGUUUGUUUACCUGUUCUGGAGAAUGGCUGCCUAUAGCAGACACAGGAGUUGUCUUCACACUGUGCGUUCCGACUUCCACAGGAAUUUGAGUUGUAGCUGCAAUGCAGCUACCAACCGGGGAUACAGUUUCUCAGCCCCGCGCCUUGUACCUACAGCUAAGUGUGGCCAUGUGACCAGUUUUCAUCAAUUAAGUAUGAAUAGAAACAAAGUGCACCACCUUCAUUUGCUCUCUUUCGCCUUGUGCUGGGGGAUACAGAUGACAAUAAGGCCCUAGGUGAUGAGGCAGCCAUAAGAUGCAAAAUGCCUCAGACCUGAGUCACCACGUAGAAGAGAGAAGCCCACUGACCUAGAACAUCCACCCUGGUCUAUAGAUGAACAAGAAAUAAACUUCUAUUGUGUUUGAACAUUGAAGAUUUGGUUCUGUUAUAGCAACUUAUCUCACCCUGACUAAACUGUUACCUGUCUUUCAAGAGAUAGGCAAGUUUAGCCAGGGUGCCCUCCUUCCCUGAAAGUGAUUUUUUCAUAAAUGUAAUCUAUAUGUUAAUUCAUACUCUCCAAAGCAUAUCCACAUCUAUUCAACUAUGCUUAUGUGUUCCAUCAACAGAAACCUCAUAUAAAUAAAUAUACAUAAAGGUUU